UACUGUGCAGGUGUUGCAACCAUCACAAUUUGUGACCCCGGGGAGCAGUGUUGCAUUUUGUUGCGUCUGUACAUCCUGAAUUGGCAUAAAAGCGGAAGAUGCUAGGUUAAAGCCGUAAACUACGUAAGCUUUGAGGAAGUUGUGCGGCGCGGACCAUGGUCACACGAUAUGAUCGUGGCUAUCACAGAAUGUGACCAUCUGGAUCAGUAAUAAUGCAGAUAGGGUUGCCAACCGUCCCUUGAAAAACGGAAUCGUCUCGUAUUUAGAAACACAAGUGCACGUCCCUUAUUGAACUCAAAAGGGACGCACUUUGUCCCGUAAUAUAGUAUGGAUCAAAAUUAGUCUGUAGUCUAUUACCGGAAUUAACGCUUUGUUUGAAAGCCAGCCCUUCGCCUGCUCUGUGACCAAUGAACUGACCGCAUGCUUACACACGAAUAUGACGAUACAGAUUACCGCUUAUUUCAUUGGUCGAGGAACGGUCGCUUGGGGAGAAGAUACCGGAAGAAAACAGACGACAGCAAACAGCACGGCCAACCGGGAAACUAACGCCGACACUGCUGUACAAGUCUCGGACGACAGUACCCCUCCGAGAAAGAAGAAAAAAGGCUUCAAAAAUACAGGGAGGAAUGGGAAAAGGAAAAUUCCUGGCUGGAAAAACUGCGCGAUAACACCUAUAAAGCGCACUGCACCGUGUACCGGCGCAGUUUUUCCAAAGGGCAUGGUGGACUCACUGACCUCAAGCAACAUGCGUCUAGUAGUAGCCACAUGAAAAACAUAAAGGACGUGAAAUUACGGGGAACCCUCGAUCAGUUUGUCGUCCACAAGGCCACGGCAGAAGCAGAUAUGGUUAAACAUCUCUAUGGAUGAGCUUUAUGACGAGUGUGUCACUGCAACCAGCCUUCUGGAGCCCCUCACCAAAGGACCUCAGGAGAAGGAUAAGUGGCAGUCAAAGGGAACAGCAGAGAAGUGUAUAGAAAUUCUUCAGGCAGCUGACCUCUCCAACAUCCAGCCUGUUGUAUCGUUUGUACUCAGCAUCCCAUCUUCCACUGGAUUGGCAGAGAGGAUUUUCUCUCUCAUGAAGAAUAAGUGGACUGAUGUGCGGAACAAAUGUUCUACUGAAAUAAUUAGAUGUGAGCUCAUUGUCACUCUAAAUUGUGACAUGUUUUGCUCAGAGUUUUACUCUGCAGUACUGAAAGACAACUCCUAAAUGCAGCAAGAUCUCAAAAGAAAUACAAAUGGAGAAAAUAGUCUGUUUUCACAUAAUGUAGCAUUGAGCUUUUGAGUUCAUGAGUUUGGACUUUUUUUUUUUUUACUUCAACCGUAGGCUACAGUCAAGGCCUUUGAGG